GACGAACGCUGGCGGCGUGCUUAACACAUGCAAGUCGAACGGAAAGGCCCUGCUUGCAGGGUACUCGAGUGGCGAACGGGUGAGUAACACGUGGGUGAUCUGCCCUGCACUUUGGGAUAAGCUUGGGAAACUGGGUCUAAUACCGGAUAGGAACCAUCUUUAGUGUGGUGGUUGGAAAGUUUUUUCGGUGUAGGAUGAGCUCGCGGCCUAUCAGCUUGUUGGUGGGGGAAUGGCCUACCAAGGCGGCGACGGGUAGCUGGCCUGAGAGGGUGUACGGCCACAUUUGGGCUGAGAUACGGGCCAGAGUCCUACGGGGGGCAGCAGUGGGGAAUAUUGCACAAUGGGCGCAAGCCUGAGGCAGCGACGCCGCGUGGGGGAUGAAGGCCUUCGGGUUGUAAACUCCUUUCGCUAGGGACGAAGCUUUGUUGUGACGGUACCUAGAGAAGAAGCACCGGCUAACUACGUG
rnacentral:rRNA from 1 species